rnacentral:lncRNA from 1 species
ACAAAGGCGUACAAAGUAUGUCUUAGCCAACUCGAUCAAGUUCCGCACUUGUCUAUCAUUCAUGACAUGCAUAGGAGGAGUAUCCGGAGUCAUUUGCUGUAAAAUGACGUCUGGUAAGGAAUAUGUUAGCUCCACCUUCUCGAUUUUCUUGUCCAGACCAUAAUCUUCUAGUGCCAUUUCAUGAAGUUCACCAUGUGUACAACCAUCCGACACAAGAAACAUUCUCCCUCCUUUCCGAUUAUUGACCACAAACUCCCACAAAGAGCCUUUCACCACCCAUUCUCCGUAUACAACAGGUACCUGAGCCAUUUCCUGCAAAAAAAUACAGGUUUACAUAAUCAGCAAAGAAAUAUUUCAUGUUUCAUAAAACUAUAAACGAAGACUUACAAAUACGUCUACAAUUAUUAGCUAACAACAUUGUCAAAUUAAAUGAAUUAUACCUUUAUAAUUAUAAAAAAAAAUUCUUUUCAAAAUCACUCAACCCCAUUAGGAUUAACUAACACACA